rnacentral:rRNA from 1 species
AAGAAGGAUAACCUAGAUACAACGCGCAAAACCUUACCAGCCCUUGACAUAUGAACAACAAAACCUGUCCUUAACAGGAUGGUACUGACUUUCAUAUAGGUGCUGCAUGGCUGUCGUCUGCUCGUGUCGUGAGAUGUUUGGUCAAGUCCUAUAACGAGCGAAACCCUCGUUUUGUGUUGCUGAGACAUGCGCCUAAGGAGAAAUUGCCACCGAGUGACGUGCCAGCGCUACUACUUGAUUGAGUGCCAGCACGUAGUUGUGCUUUCAGCAAGAAUUUCACCAUUGGGAGCCGGUGCCUUUCGAAGCACUUUCACGUGUGAACCGAAGUUGUCUUGCCCAAGACCCACGGAGACCUACCUAUAGUGACGUCAAAGUACCAGUGAGCAUGGAGGUUUGGUUGAAAUUGGUUACGACAACGUCGAGUUGGCGGCGGAGGAAGACUCGGCAUGAAGGCCAGAAAAUGGUGUGGAACGUAGUGGUAAUAGUACGCGCCCCGCUCCGAAACAAAGAAAAAGGUGCGUGCCGCACUCACGAGGGACUGCCAGUGAGAUACUAGAGGAAGGUGGGGAUGACGUCAAGUCCGCAUGGCCCUUAUGGGCUGGGCCACACAUGUGCUACAAUGGCAAUGACAAUGGGAAGCAAGGCUGUAAGGCGGAGCAAAUCCGGAAAGAUUGCCUCAGUUCGGAUUGUUCUCUGCAACUCGGGAACAUGAAGUUGAAAUCGCUAGUAAUCGCGGAUCAGCAUGCCGCGGUGAAUAU